rnacentral:lncRNA from 1 species
ACCCCGCCAUAGAGACACCUCAACGCAUGCCUCAACACCGCGCGCGAAGAAGGAAAAAAGAAAAAGAAAAAAAAGCUGCGGCGGAAUGUUUGCUCUCUCUCAAAUGCCGAUCUGCGACUCUCCGUGUGCCACGCUUCUCCCUUUCCCGUCCCUAUCACGUAGAGACCCUUCUCCUUUCAACGCCGCGCGCGAAGAGAGAAAAAGAAAAAAAAAAGAAAGCUGUGCCGGAGUGUUUGCUCUCUCUCAAAUGCCGAUCUGCGUCUCUCAGCGUGUGUCAACCACGUGGAGACGCUCCGCCUUUCUCGUCACGUGCUGGCCACGCUGCGGCUGCGGCGCUGAACAACGGAGACGCAGUCGUUGUCGUCGUUCUUUGGUCAUUGUCGGCGCUGGACAUAGCCGCGCGCUACUUCUCUUGCCAGGAGAAUACGGAAGCCAAAGUAGAAAUGAUUUGCAAACUGCGUGCGAAGUUGAUUGACUCGCUGCAAGGCAAACGUGGGCAGAUGCGCAUCACUGAUUACUUCAGUUAAUGAUGGGUGUCCUGUGAUUUGUGAAUAAAUGUAAAAUCGUCUGAAACUUCCCCAUCGUGUGUUAGCUCAGUGCACAUGCGCCACUGCAGGUGAGUCCUCUGUUCAAUUAGCUUUCAUUAAUUCGAACUUCUUUUAAUUCGAACGAAUUUUUGGGCCCUUUCGAGUUCGAAUUAUCGAGAUUCGACUGUAC